AUAUAACAGGUCAUGGAAGUACCCACUCUCAUAAUUGAACAAAAAAAUCUAAGUUUGAUACAUAACAGAAGAAGAAAAAGAGCAAGAGAAACAAUCAAAGAAGAGUUCCUGAAUCCUACUGGACCUUGUAUCUCCUCUUUGACACUCAAGAAUUAGAAAAAAAUAUGUAUGUGUUGGCUUCUAAUUCACCAUUCUGCCACGUCCACUCACCCGCCCACAGUGGGAUAUAGAGAAAAUGUUUUCAAGGGACUGAUUGCGCAUUAGUUCCUGAAAAGAAAAGAUGCCAUUCUUUUAGGCUGGGCUUGAUCAUGAAGGCACUCUGAAGGAGUAGAAUGUGGUGGUUGGUGGAGAACUGACUGUCAGAGAGAAUCAGGUUAAGAAUCUCUGCUUAUUGAUCACUGCACCUUUCUCCUCCUAAACUAAAGACAAAGUGAUCUUGGAAAGGGAAUUUUUUUCCUUUUGACUAUUUCUAAUUAACCCAAAAGAAUAUUUCUCAGUAUGAAGGACUAAUAAAGCCUGAUGGAUCAGCCA
rnacentral:lncRNA from 1 species